rnacentral:rRNA from 1 species
CUACGGGGGGCAGCAGUGGGGAAUAUUGGACAAUGGGGGGAACCCUGAUCCAGCCAUGCCGCGUGUGUGAAGAAGGCCCUCGGGUUGUAAAGCACUUUCAGUGAGGAAGAACGCCUGGUGGUUAAUACCCAUCAGGAAAGACAUCACUCACAGAAGAAGCACCGGCUAACUCCGUGCCAGCAGCCGCGGUAAUACGGAGGGUGCGAGCGUUAAUCGGAAUUACUGGGCGUAAAGCGCGCGUAGGUGGCUUGAUAAGCCGGUUGUGAAAGCCCCGGGCUCAACCUGGGAACGGCAUCCGGAACUGUCAAGCUAGAGUGCAGGAGAGGAAGGUAGAAUUCCCGGUGUAGCGGUGAAAUGCGUAGAGAUCGGGAGGAAUACCAGUGGCGAAGGCGGCCUUCUGGACUGACACUGACACUGAGGUGCGAAAGCGUGGGUAGCAAACAGGAUUAGAUACCCGUGUAGUC